AGAGUUUGAUCCUGGCUCAGGACGAACGCUGGCGGCGUGCUUAACACAUGUGCAAGUCGAGCGGUAAGGCCCUUCGGGGUACACGAGCGGCGAACGGGUGAUAGUAACACGUGGGCAACCUGCCCUGCACUCUGGGAUAACCUCGGGAAACCGGGGGGCUAAUACCGGAUACGACCUUCCCCCGCAUGGGGGUGGGUGGAAAGUUCGCCGGCGGUGCAGGAUGGGCCCGCGGCCUAUCAGCUUGUUGGUGGGGUAAUGUGGCCUACCAAGGCGACGACGGGUAGCCGGCCUGAGAGGGCGACCGGCCACCCACUGGGACUGAGAUACGGCCCAGACUCCUACGGGAGGCAGCAGUGGGGAAGGUAUUGCGCAAUGGGCGAAAGCCUGACGCAGCGACGCCGCGUGAGGGAUGACACGGCCUUCGGGUUGUAAACCUCUUUCAGCGCCGAAGAAGCGAAAGUGACGGAGUAGGCGCAGAAGAAGCACCGGCUAACUACGUGCCAGCAGCCGCGGUAAUCUACGUAGGGUGCGAGCGUUGUCCGGAAUUAUUGGGCGUAAAGAGCUCGUAGCCGCGGUUUGUCGCGUCGACUGUGAAAACCUACAGCUUAACUGUGGGCGUGCCGAGUCGAUACGGGCAGACUUGAGUUCGGUAGGGGAGACUGGAAUUCCUGGUAGGUAGCGGUGGAAUGCGCAGAUAUCAGGAGGAACACCGGUGGCGAAGGCGGUCGUCUCUGGGCCGAUACUGACGCUGAGGAGCGAAAGCGUGGGGAGCGAACACGGGAUUAGAUACCCUGGUAGUCCACGCCGUAAACGGUGGGCGCUAGGUGUGAUGGGGAUUUCCACGUCCUCCGUGCCGUAGCUAACGCAUUAAGCGCCCCGCCCAUGGGGAGUACGGCCGCAAGGCUAAAACUCAAAGGAAUUGACGGGGGCCCGCUCACAAGCGGCGGAGCAUGUGGAUUAAUUCGAUGCAACGCGAAGAACCUUACGCCUGGGUUUGACAUGCACUGGAUCGCCUCAGAGAUGGGGUUUCCGUAAGGUUUCAGUGUGCAGGUGGUGCAUGGCUGUCGUCAGCUCGUGUCGUGAGAUGUUUCGGGUUAAGUCCCGCAACGAGCGCAACCCUUGUUCCAUGUUGCCAGCACGUCUAAUGGUGGGGACUCAUGGGAGACUGCCGGGGUCAACUCGGAGGAAGGUGGGUGGAUGAGGUCAAGUCAUCAUGCCCCUUAUGUCCAGGGCUUCACACAUGCUCAACAAUGGCCGGUACAGAGGGCUGCGAAAUCGCAAGGUGGAGCGAAUCUCUCAUAAAGCCGGUCUCAGUUCGGAUCGGGGUCUGCAACUCGACCCCGUGAAGUCCCGGAGUCGCUAGUAAUCGCAGAUCAGCAACGCUGCGGUGAAUACGUUCCCUUGGGCCUUGUACACACCGCCCGUCACGUCAUGAAAGUCGGUAACACCCGAAAAGCCCGUGGCCCAACCCUUGUGGGGGAGCGGUCGAAGGUGGGACUGGCGAU
rnacentral:rRNA from 1 species